rnacentral:rRNA from 1 species
AUUGAACGCUGGCGGAAUGCUUUACACAUGCAAGUCGAACGGUAGAGGGGGCAACCCCUUGAGAGUGGCGAACGGGUGAGUAAUAUAUCGGAACGUGCCCAGUCGUGGGGAUAACGUAGCGAAAGUUACGCUAAUACCGCAUACGAUCUAAGGAUGAAAGCGGGGGAUCGCAAGACCUCGCGCGAUUGGAGCGGCCGAUAUCAGAUUAGGUAGUUGGUGAGGUAAAGGCUCACCAAGCCAACGAUCUGUAGCUGGUCUGAGAGGACGACCAGCCACACUGGAACUGAGACACGGUCCAGACUCCUACGGGAGGCAGCAGUGGGGAAUUUUGGACAAUGGACGCAAGUCUGAUCCAGCCAUUCCGCGUGCAGGAUGAAGGCCCUCGGGUUGUAAACUGCUUUUGUACGGAACGAAAAGGUUUCUAUUAAUACUAGGAGCUCAUGACGGUACCGUAAGAAUAAGCACCGGCUAACUACGUGCCAGCAGCCGCGGUAAA